rnacentral:rRNA from 1 species
CACGUAUUUAGCCGGGGCUUCUUAGUCAGGUACCGUCAUUUUCUUCCCUGCUGAUAGGGCUUUACAUGCCGAAGCACUCCAUCGCCCACGCGGCGUCGCUGCAUCAGGGUUCCCCCCAUUGUGCAAUAUCCCCCACUGCUGCCUCCCGUAGGAGUCUGGGCCGUGUCUCAGUCCCAAUGUGGCCGCCACCCUCUCAGGCCGGCUACUGAUCGUCGCCUUGGUGGGCCGUUGCCCCGCCAACCAGCUAAUCAGACGCGGGCCCAUCCUGCACCGCCGGAGCUUCCCCCGCCGCCCCAUGCGGGGCUGCGGGCAUAUGCGGUAUUAGCAGCCGUUUCCGGCUGUUGUCCCCCAGUGCAGGGCAGGUUGCCCACGCGUUACUCACCCGUCCGCCACUGGGCAGCGCCGGCUUCCGCUCCGAAAAGCCUCAGCCUGCGCGCCCCGUUCGACUUGCAUGUGUUAGGCACGCCGCCAGCGUUCAUCCUGAGCCAGGAUCAAA